rnacentral:rRNA from 1 species
UAAGCCUACGGGGCGCAGCAGUGGGGAAUAUUGCACAAUGGGGGAAACCCUGAUGCAGCGACGCCGCGUGAGUGAGGAAGUAUUUCGGUAUGUAAAGCUCUAUCAGCAGGGAAGAAAAUGGCGGUACCUGACUAAGAAGCCCCGGCUAACUACGUGCCAGCAGCCGCGGUAAUACGUAGGGGGCAAGCGUUAUCCGGAUUUACUGGGGGUAAAGGGAGCGUAGACGGAGGAGUAAGUCUGAUGUGAAAAUCCGGGGCCCAACCCCGGAACGGCAUUGGAA